rnacentral:rRNA from 1 species
UACAGAGGUCUCAAGCGUUGUUCGGAUUCAUUGGGCGUAAAGGGUGCGUAGGUGGCGGGGUAAGUCAGGUGUGAAAUCUCGGGGCUCAACCCCGAAACUGCACUUGAUACUGCCUUGCUCGAGUACUGGAGAGGAGAUUGGAAUUUACGGUGUAGCAGUGAAAUGCGUAGAUAUCGUAAGGAAGACCAGUGGCGAAGGCGAAUCUCUGGACAGUUACUGACACUGAGGCACGAAGGCCAGGGGAGCGAACGGG